CCUACGGGGGGCAGCAGUGAGGAAUAUUGGUCAAUGGGCGCGAGCCUGAACCAGCCAAGUAGCGUGAAGGGUGACUGCCCUACGGGGUGUAAACUGCUUUUAUAAAGGAAUAAAGUGAGGCACGUGUGCCUUUUUGUAUGUACUUUAUGAAUAAGGAUCGGCUAACUCCGUGCCAGCAGCCGCGGUAAGACGGAGGAUCCGAGCGUUAUGCGGAUUUAUUGGGGUUAAAGGGAGCGUAGCUGGGUUGUUAAGGCAGUUGUGACCGUUUGCGGCUCAACCGUUAAAUUGCAAUUGAUACUGGCAGUCUUGUGUACAGUUGCGGUCGGCGGCAUUCGUUGUGUAGCGG
rnacentral:rRNA from 1 species